rnacentral:rRNA from 1 species
GGAUCCAGACUUUGAUUAUGGCUCAGGAUGAACGCUGGCGGCGUGCUUAACACAUGCAAGUCGAACGAAGCACCUUAUUCUGAUUUCUUCGGAAUGAAAAAUUUGGUGACUGAGUGGCGGACGGAUGAGUAACGCGUGGGUAACCUGCCUCAUACAGGGGGAUAACAGUUAGAAAUGACUGCUAAUACCGCAUAAGACCACAGCACCGCAUGGUGCAGGGGUAAAAACUCCGGUGGUAUGAGAUGGACCCGCGUCUGAUUAGGUAGUUGGUGGGGUAACGGCCUACCAAGCCGACGAUCAGUAGCCGACCUGAGAGGGUGACCGGCCACAUUGGGACUGAGACACGGCCCAAACUCCUACGGGAGGCAGCAGUGGGGAAUAUUGCACAAUGGGGGAAACCCUGAUGCAGCGACGCCGCGUGAGCGAUGAAGUAUUUCGGUAUGUAAAGCUCUAUCAGCAGGGAAGAAAAUGACGGUACCUGACUAAGAAGCACCGGCUAAAUACGUGCUAGCAGCCGCGGUAAUACGUAUGGUGCAAGCGUUAUCCGGAUUUACUGGGUGUAAAGGGAGCGUAGACGGAGUGGCAAGUCUGAUGUGAAAACCCGGGGCUCAACCCCGGGACUGCAUUGGAAACUGUCAAUCUAGAGUACCGGAGAGGUAAGCGGAAUUCCUAGUGUAGCGGUGAAAUGCGUAGAUAUUAGGAGGAACACCAGUGGCGAAGGCGGCUUACUGGACGGUAACUGACGUUGAGGCUCGAAAGCGUGGGGAGCAAACAGGAUUAGAUACCCUGGUAGUCCACGCCGUAAACGAUGACUACUAGGUGUCGGGCAGCAAAGCUGUUCGGUGCCGCAGCAAACGCAAUAAGUAGUCCACCUGGGGAGUACGUUCGCAAGAAUGAAACUCAAAGGAAUUGACGG